rnacentral:pre_miRNA from 1 species
GAACUACUCCCUUUGUCCGAAAUUUCUUGUCUUAGAUUUGUCUAGAUACGGAUGUAUCUAAUACUAAAAUGUGACUUGAUACAUCUGUAUCUAGACAAAUCUAAGACAAGAAUUUUGGGACGGAGGGAGUACUUU